rnacentral:rRNA from 1 species
UAGGGAAUCUUCGGCAAUGGACGGAAGUCUGACCGAGCAACGCCGCGUGAGUGAAGAAGGUUUUCGGAUCGUAAAGCUCUGUUGUAAGAGAAGAACGAGUGUGAGAGUGGAAAGUUCACACUGUGACGGUAUCUUACCAGAAAGGGACGGCUAACUACGUGCCAGCAGCCGCGGUAAUACGUAGGUCCCGAGCGUUGUCCGGAUUUAUUGGGCGUAAAGCGAGCGCAGGCGGUUAGAUAAGUCUGAAGUUAGAGGCUGUGGCUUAACCAUAGUAGGCUUUGGAAACUGUUUAACUUGAGUGCAAGAGGGGAGAGUGGAAUUCCAUGUGUAGCGGUGAAAUGCGUAGAUAUAUGGAGGAACACCGGUGGCGAAAGCGGCUCUCUGGCUUGUAACUGACGCUGAGGCUCGAAAGCGUGGGGAGCAAACAGGAUUAGAUACCCUGGUAGUCCACGCUGUAAACGAUGAGUGCUAGGUGUUAGACCCUUUCCGGGGUUUAGUGCCGUAGCUAACGCAUUAAGCACUCCGCCUGGGGAGUACGACCGCAAGGUU